UACGUAGGGAGCUAGCGUUGUUCGGAAUCACUGGGCGUAAAGGGAGCGUAGGCGGAAAGGUAAGUUAGGAGUGAAAUCUGUUGGCUUAACUGGCAGCUUGCUUCUAAAACUGCUUUUCUUGAGUAUGGGAGAGGGUGAUGGAAUUCCAGGUGUAGCGGUGGAAUGCGUAGAGAUCUGGAAGAACACCAGUUGCGAAGGCGGUCACCUGGCCCAAUACUGACGAUGAGGCUCGAAAGAUAGGGGAGCAAACAGG
rnacentral:rRNA from 1 species